rnacentral:rRNA from 1 species
GGGCUUGGCGGUGUUUUAGACCUCUCAGGGGAACCUGUCUCGUAAUCGACAAUCCACGAUAAACCUAACCUUUAAUGGCAACUCAGCCUGUAUACCGUCGUCGUCAGGUAACUUCUUAAAAUAUAGUAGUUAGCUUGAGAAUUGUAUUAAUUAAAACGUCAGAUCAAGGUGCAGCUAAUGAAAGGGUGAGGAUGGGUUACAAUUACAUAUUUGUAAAUACGGAAAAACACUUGAAAUGAAGUGUCUUAAAGGAGGACUUGAAAGUAAUUUUGUCUAUAUAAAUAGAAUGAAUAGGGCUCUGAAACGUGCACACAUCGCCCGUCGCUCUCGUUGAAAAAUGAGAUAAGUCGUAACAUAGUAGGGGUAAUGGAAAUUGUUCCUAGGC